AGCGUCCGGCGAGGCCUCCCCUCGGUGGGCGGGGCCCCGCCCCUCGCCCGGCCCCCGUGGCGCGCGGCCCGAGCCGAGAGACGUGGCGGCGCGUCCCGCCGGGCCCGCGGGGCUGGGCCGGGAGUCUUCACUAACGGGCUUGACACAAGUGCGAGUGAUUGGUGGCACGUGAAGGCUGAGGAUUCGUUCUGCUGCUGGUGCCUGUUCAGCUGCUGUUUUCCGUUGCCUGAGAAAAGGCGAGGAGAGCUGCGUUCCUGCAGAGGCCACUGCAGAGAACCUUUGACAAAAAUCUGAUUUCCAAGACAUUAUGGGCAAGCGAAAAGGAAGUGGGCUUUUCUACAGGUCUAUUUUAUCUGGAUUGCAUACUGAAUUGAUGAAUGAAAAAGCUGAACAAACUAGAAAAGUGUAUGUCUGGAGAUUUGCCUCUUGACAAACUUCAACAAGAGUUAUUUCUUUGUCUAUGCACUGAGGAGAAGAACAACAUAUCAAGUGCCUUUGAGUAACUGAAGUUUUUGUCUGGAGAUAGCACGAGGUUUCUCCAUGUCGCUGUUGAAGCUAAAGCUGUGAUCUCUGUCUCAGCUAUAUUUUGUCACUAAGAGAUAACUGGGAGGCUGCACAACAUUUCAGAUAAAAUGUUGGGUGUGGAAACCUAUUCUCAUCAAAUAAGUAUUAUUCUUUUAAUUUUCCUGUUACCUCAGAAAGGAAUUUCUUAGGGUUAUAGUGCACGUACUUGGCUGUGCUGCCCGUACUGGCUGGCUUGAAUGUGCUGCUUCUCACAGGCAGAACUAGAGAUGGGGACUGAUUUCUUGCAUUCCUUCACAGAGCAACAAGCUGGUGAAUCACAGUGUUAUGUGGGAACCAAUGGGAGGCGGUAAAAAGAUUAUUUUGCUGGCUGAUAAUAACAUAUUAUUGUGGGAUUUGCAGGAAAGUUCAGCCGAAGCUGUGGAACUUGCUGCAGAAAUCUCAAGGCAGACUGACCAUGACAACUUAAGCAGACACCAGAAAAGUUAAAAGGUAACUAGGUCCACAGAUGAGGCUCUGGAGGAAUGGUUCAAGAUGCAGCUUCUCCCAGCUCAGAUGCAUUACACAGACUUGCAGGCUGCUGCUGAGCAGCUGGCGCAGCAGAAGGCAGAGGCAUCGUGUGGAGCGUCGAGGCAAGAGAGAGAGAGAAGAGGAGCGGUGUCGGCCUGACCAGGGGGCAGGAGAAAGGUGCUCUGGGCAAAGGGACCUCUCUGUCACCAGGGCGAGGGUGAUAGAAGAGCACGGAGGGCCCCUUUGGGCUGCCCUGGCUGUCUCUGUGCUGGGCGACCUCCCUGUAAGCAGGGCUGGGUCUUUGCUUUUGCUGUCAUUGGCCUUUUGCCGUCUUGCUCCUUUGGCUGCCUGAAGAGCGUGGCAACCCAGUAAGGAGGGUGAGAGCCACCGCCUCCGCACCCGAGGGGGAAAGGGAGCUCGCUGGACCCCCAGGCCACCCCGUGAGCAGGGUGGGGAAGGUCCUUUCCCCAGCCCCCUCCUCUGGCCCCGGUGGGUUUGUGCCUGCUGGGGGCCUGGUCGGGGUGAGCCCCUGGAGUCAGGGCGUGUCACAGCUUUUGCCCCUUGGCCACCCCCCCUGUAGCUCCUCGGCGUGUUGAGGCCCCUCUGGCCUCCACGCAGCGUGUGGGUGGGCAAGGCAACCCGCCUGUAGCCAUGGCCCGGGUCUGUGCCUGUGGUGCUGCCUGUGGUGCUGGCGAGCUGCCAGCCCCGGUGACAGCCUCGUUCUGGGGGUGUGUGUCACCAGCCGUGGAGCCGUCUGUCCCCAGAGCAGCCCCAGCUCCCUGUCAGCAGGGCUGGGGGUGCCCCCUGCUCUCGGUGGGAGGAGCUGGGAGGGGACCCCCUGUCAUCAGGCAGGUCUCUCUGGCCCCGGCCUUUCAGAGGUGUUGGGGCAGGGUUUGUGGGGCAAGGCGUCUGCUUUCCCUGUCCUUGAGGCUGGGGCCCCAUCCCCCUGUCUCCACCUCCUGGCUCCCCGGGUGUUGCAAGCAGGGCUGAGCCGCCUCUUUGGCCGCUGCUUGGCUUGCCCAGCUGCAUUUGCCCAGGGUGCCCACCUCGGAGCCCACCUCCAGCACCGGCUGGAACUCGGCAGGCGCCCAGAGCUGCAAUAGGCAGCUGCUGCUGGAGAAGAAAGACAAGGCAUCCGAUGUGUGGGGAAGGAGCCACAAGUCAACGGCGAGCGAGAAGAGAAGCAGAGGACUGAAUGGGAGGAAGGAGAAAGGUGCUGUGGGCAAAGGGACCUGCCUGCCACCAGAGCUGUGGUCACAUAAGAGCCUUCGUUGCUUUUUGCCACCCUUUGGCCAACCAGCUUUGUCACCGGCUUUGCUACAGGAUGGCCUUGUGUCCAGGACCUGUCAGUUAUGGUGCUUGAAAGACUGGCAGAGAGCACUCCCUGCACUCCAGCAGGGCCUGAUGGACUUGGCCUCGGUUGGUCACGGUGCUGCCUGCCCGUGCCAGGUCUUGCUACUGUCUUGGCUGUCUCACAAGGCGAUCAGAUGGUGGCACGCUGGGUGCCAAGCGGUGGUGUGGGCGGGUGGGAGCAGCGGUCCCGUGCCUGUGUGAGGGGGAGAGCGGGAAGAGCGUGGGAGGGGAAGGGGAGAGCGGGAAGAAGCGGGUCUGCGAGCGCCGAGGGAUUCAGUUGCCGUCCCGGGAGGCGCCAUGGCCACAGGAGAAGUGGAGCCCUGAUCAGGUGAGAAAAGCGACGCGUUAGUCACAAUUUGUCUCUGAAUAACAUUCCACCUCCUUUCUUGACACCCCUCUUUGUUUCUUUCAGGCUACCUCUCUUUCUAAAUUUCUGUCUAAAUUCCUCUCUCGCCCCCUCUCUGUGGCCCCUCCUCUCUGUCACCCCCCUGCCACCCCUGCCUCUCUGCCCCUGCUUUCUGUGUCCCCCCAUCCAUCCCUCUCUGUCCCCCCCCGUCUC